GGCGGACCUAUCAGAAUUGGAACAGAUCAAUUAGCAUAUCCACCUAUGAUCGGAGGCAUAACCAUAAAAAAUAUCAUUAAAAAAGCGUGAGUUGUUAUUAAAACAUUAUAAAGUUGAUGAUUCCCACCAAGAAUUUGAUUGCCUGGUUGUGCUAAUUCCAUAGGAAGGGCCUUUGUUUGGAUUGUGUAUCUAGGUUAUUUUUAUUAUCAGUAUUUUUUUUCUUCUUGAAUGGACUAUAAAUGACCUCAUGUUCCAUAAUGGUUGCUUGACAUAGAAAUGUGACUAAAUAAUCUGACUCCAUUUACGAGUUUAUUCAAGUCUCCUUUUAGGCUAAUAUUGUCGAGGAAGUGACUAAUUAUUGCAUAUGAGGCUGAAGUGAUCAUUUUUACUAGUAAACUCGGUCAAAAGUUACAAUCAGAUAUCAAGAGUAGGAGAGUUCCUUGACUAAUUUUGUAAGUGAAGGAGUUUCCUUGCCUGAUUCACAAACCUUAUGGAAAGUCCCUACAAUUUUCACUUGAAUUUCACUUAAAUCAAAACUUCAUCACUCUUUCAUGUAUAAUAACUCCGUCAAUUUAUUCACUGUUGAAUUUUUGUUUAGGGCAAGAUGCUGAACAGACAGGAAUGCAAUAUUCUACUUUGUACUGUAAUUUCUCUGAAAGUAGAGGAAGUUGUUUAUGUAGAUGCAUGCUAAUAUAGAAAGAGCGCACUUGUUCUGUAAUAUAGAAAGGGCUUUGCAUUUCACUCUUUGUUGUGGGGUUGUCACCGAUUUAUCGGCCAUACGGAUAGGGAAGUCAUCCAAUAAGUGGUUUUAGCAUAUCUUAUGCAAUCAAUUGAUUCUAUCAUGUCUAUUCUUCACUAGCACAUAGGCUCUAGCUUCUUCCUCUAGCCGAGCCACUACAUGCAUAUGUGUGAUUCGUGGCAGUUUUUUUUUAAAUUUUUUAUGGAGUGCAUCAUUUGUGUUCGACUCAGGUAGCUAAGAAGGACUUUUUCCUUUCUCUUUGCACGAUAUACCAAUUUCUGAAGAUGAUUGUUUUUUAUGGGCUUGGGCUGUUUUCCCGGUGGCAUGCCUUGCUGUUUCUAAUAUAGUGGUCAUGAUCGAUUCGAUAGAAAAGAAGGAAUAGUUUGUAUUUUUCGUUGGGAUUUCCUGGAAAAACUAGUCGUGUCUUAUUCUGAUUUAUUAUAAAUGAUAUUCAAUCUGCCAAAAUAAAAGUUAAAAGAGGGUAUGUAUGCUCAUUGUGUUCUUUAUAUGGAAAUCUGAAGCUAGGGGGCAUUCCCUUGACUUGUACUGGUGAGAAUUUUACUCCACAAGAAAUUGAAGAAAAAACUGCUAAACUGAAGAAUCCUCUUUUUUCUAGAAAACUCGCAUUGGGUUUAGGGAUAAUUAGGCUUGAACUGAUGACUUCCACCACGUCAAGAUGACGCUCUAUCGCUGAGUUGUAUCCCUUCUCGUUGUCUAAGAACUAGAUUUGUCUUGUCUUCAUCUCUCUCCCAUUCCGUUAGCAUUUCUAUCUUGUUAUCAAAUCCUUCAAACCUAGGGCAUGCCACUAGGAAAGGUCUUUGCCUACUUUUAUAAGGGAGUUUCCGUGGCUGAUUUGUAACGGGCCUGGCGUAGCGGUAAAGCUACCCCUUGGUGACCUGGUGGUCACUGGUUCGAGUCGUGAAAACAGCCUUUCCGUUUGGGGGGGUAAGGCUGCGUACAUAACCCUUUCCCAGACUCCACUUAAGCGGGAGCUUUCGUGCACUAGGUUCCAAAUGCCAAGAUUUCUAUUUGGAUCAGAUGAUCAUUGAUUGCAUGGACAAGGUCUCUGGCUGAAGUAUAUGUUGUAGACCCCUCUGAACCAUGGCACUACAUUUUUUUGAAACCACAAGGACUGUCUAGUUAGAAGUAGACUACUCUGCUUAUUGCCAUGGCUGCUUCAGCAAAAACUCUCACAGUCGAAAAGCCAAAUCCAACUGGAGACUGGACAAUUGUUUUGCCUCGUCGUGGUAAAAAACAAAGAAGAAAUCUCAAAUCUCAGAUCCUAGAACAAGAACAACCAUGGGUUCCAAUCGACCAUGAGGUUGAUUCUGACAGAGAAUUGAAAUUGAUGCAGAAAAUGCAAGUCUGCAUGAAGAAAGUUGAGACCUCUCUCUUCUUCUAUACUUUUAUGGAUCAAACUCGGUCUCCUCAAAUCUUGGAUCAUCUUUCAAGGCUUCUGGGCU